rnacentral:rRNA from 1 species
AUUGAACGCUGGCGGCAUGCCUUACACAUGCAAGUCGAACGGCAGCACGGGAGCAAUCCUGGUGGUGAGUGGCGAACGGGUGAGUAAUAUAUCGGAACGUGCCCAGUCGUGGGGGAUAACGUAGCGAAAGCUACGCUAAUACCGCAUACGAUCUCUGGAUGAAAGCGGGGGAUCGCAAGACCUCGCGCGAUUGGAGCGGCCGAUAUCAGAUUAGGUAGUUGGUGAGGUAAAGGCUCACCAAGCCGGCGAUCUGUAGCUGGUCUGAGAGGACGACCAGCCACACUGGAACUGAGACACGGUCCAGACUCCUACGGGAGGCAGCAGUGGGGAAUUUUGGACAAUGGGCGCAAGCCUGAUCCAGCAAUGCCGCGUGCAGGAUGAAGGCCUUCGGGUUGUAAACUGCUUUUGUACGGAACGAAACGGUGAGCUCUAAUACAGUUUGCUAAUGACGGUACCGUAAGAAUAAGCACCGGCUAACUACGUGCCAGCCGCCGCGGUAA